rnacentral:rRNA from 1 species
UACGUAGGUGGCAAGCGUUGUCCGGAUUUAUUGGGCGUAAAGGGAGCGCAGGCGGUGACUUAAGUCUGAUGUGAAAGCCCACGGCUCAACCGUGGAAGGUCAUUGGAAACUGGGUCACUUGAAUAUAGAAGAGGAAAGUGGAAUUCCAUGUGUAGCGGUGAAAUGCGUAGAUAUUAGGAGGAACACCAGUAGCGAAGGCGGCUCUCUGGACUGUAACUGACGCUGAGGCACGAAAGCGUGGGGAGCAAACAGGAUUAGAUACU